AUUGAACGCUAGCGGUAUGCUUAACACAUGCAAGUCGAACGGUAGCAGAUCUAGCUUGCUAGAUGCUGACGAGUGGCGGACGGGUGAGUAAUACGUAGGAAUCUACCUUAUAGUGGGGGAUAACUUAGGGAAACUUAAGCUAAUACCGCAUGUGCCUUACGGGGUAAAGCAGGGGAGUUUCGGGCCUUGUGCUAUAAGAUGACCAUACGUCGGAUUAGCUAGUUGGUAGGGUAAAGGCCUACCAAGGCUACGAUCCGUAGCUGGUCUGAGAGGAUGACCAGCCACACUGGGACUGAGACACGGCCCAGACUCCUACGGGAGGCAGCAGUGGGGAAUAUUGGACAAUGGGCGCAAGCCUGAUCCAGCAAUACCGCGUGUGUGAAGAAGGCCUGCGGGUUGUAAAGCACUUUCAGUGGGGAGGAAGGUCUUAAUGCUAAUACCAUUGAGAAUUGACGUUACCCACAGAAGAAGCACCGGCUAACUCUGUGCCAGCCGCCGCGGUAAUAC
rnacentral:rRNA from 1 species